CGCACAUUGCGCCCGCCAGUAUUCUGGCGGGCAUGCCUGUUCGAGCGUCAUUUCAACCCUCAAGCCCCUCCGGGUUUGGUGUUGGAGAUCGGCGGUGGGCCCCUUCCGGGGGCCCGGCCGGCUCCCAAAUAUAGUGGCGGUCUCGCUGCGGACUCCAUUGCGUAGUAGCUAACACCUCGCAACUGGAACGCGGCGCGGCCACGCCGUUAAACACCCCAAACUUCUGAAUGUUGACCUCGGAUCAGGUAGGAAUACCCGCUGAACUUAA
rnacentral:misc_RNA from 1 species